rnacentral:rRNA from 1 species
GAUGAACGCUGACAGAAUGCUUAACACAUGCAAGUCUACUUGAAUUUGGGUCCUAGACUUAGAUUUGGGUGGCGGACGGGUGAGUAACGCGUAAAGAACUUGCCUCACAGUUAGGGACAACAUUUGGAAACGAAUGCUAAUACCUGAUAUUAUGAUUAUACGGCAUCGUAUAAUUAUGAAAGCUAUAUGCGCUGUGAGAGAGCUUUGCGUCCCAUUAGCUAGUUGGAGAGGUAACGGCUCACCAAGGCGAUGAUGGGUAGCCGGCCUGAGAGGGUGAACGGCCACAAGGGGACUGAGACACGGCCUUUACUCCUACGGGAGGCAGCAGUGGGGAAUAUUGGACAAUGGACCAAGAGUCUGAUCCAGCAAUUCUGUGUGCACGAUGACGUUUUUCGGAAUGUAAAGUGCUUUCAGUUGGGAAGAAAGAAAUGACGGUACCAACAGAAGAA